CUAAAGAAAGAGAGACAAGAUACCUAUAAGGAAUGGAAAAUUCAUACUUAAAAGAGGAGAGAUUUAAAGGAAACUUGGUGACAGCAGAGCUGAGCUGAAAGUGGAGGCGUUUAUGUGGAGGGUGGACGAAAAUGACAGAUAUUCUGCUUCAGCCUGGAAAAAAUGUGAAUGAUUUCCUACUGAAGGAUCAGGGUAUGCUAGUGAAAUUGGAACAGAUGGAGACAAUGUGUUUUUUGUUUACAGAAACAGACAUAGUCACAGGAGAAAUGGCACCCAGGAAUGAACUCCUAUCACCAAAACAAUAUGCUGCCUGCAGUAGAGAAAGUAUGUGCAGAAGCUUUAGCAGAGUCUUCACAGAUCAUGGGAUGGACCCAAUCCAAGAACUUCUUCAGACAAAUGACGCUGGGUGA
rnacentral:lncRNA from 1 species